rnacentral:tRNA from 1 species
GGAGAGAUGGCUGAGUGGUCGAAAGCGGCCGCCUGCUAAGCGGUUGUAGGUCCUUAAAGACUUACCUCGGGUUCGAAUCCCGAUCUCUCCG